rnacentral:rRNA from 1 species
UCGGGAAUUUUGCUCAAUGGGCGCAAGCCUGAAGCAGCAACGCCGCGUGAGGGAUGAAGGCCUUCGGGUUGUAAACCUCUUUUCUCAGGGACGAUGAUGACGGUACCUGAGGAAUAAGUCACGGCUAACUACGUGCCAGCAGCCGCGGUAAUACGUAGGUGACCAGCGUUGUCCGGAUUUACUGGGCGUAAAGAGCGCGCAGGCGGUCGUUCAAGUCGAGUGUGAAAGCCCCCGGCUCAACUGGGUAGGGUCACUCGAUACUGAUCGACUUGAAGGCAGGAGAGGGAAGCGGAAUUCCCGGUGUAGUGGUGAAAUGCGUAGAUAUCGGGAGGAACACCAGUGGCGAAGGCGGCUUCCCGGCCUGUUCUUGACGCUGAGGCGCGAAAGCUAGG